GACGAACGCUGGCGGCGUGCUUAACACAUGCAAGUCGAACGGUAAGGCCCUUCGGGGUACACGAGUGGCGAACGGGUGAGUAACACGUGGGUGAUCUGCCCUGCACUUCGGGAUAAGCCUGGGAAACUGGGUCUAAUACCGGAUAGGACCACUGCCUGCAUGGGUGGUGGUGGAAAGCUUUUGCGGGGUGGGAUGGGCCCGCGGCCUAUCAGCUUGUUGGUGGGGUGAUGGCCUACCAAGGCGACGACGGGUAGCCGGCCUGAGAGGGUGACCGGCCACGCUGGGACUGAGAUACGGCCCAGACUCCUACGGGAGGCAGCAGUGGGGAAUAUUGCACAAUGGGCGCAAGCCUGAUGCAGCGACGCCGCGUGAGGGAUGACGGCCUUCGGGUUGUAAACCUCUUUCAGCACCGACGAAGCGCAAGUGACGGUAGGUGCAGAAGAAGGACCGGCCAACUACGUGCCAGCAGCCGCCGUAA
rnacentral:rRNA from 1 species